GGCAACCCACUCAGAUUCCGUUUCAUAGUGUGGAGGUUUUGUUCUUUCACUCUGCAGUAAAUCUUACUGCUGCUCAGUGUUUGGGUCUGUGCUACCUUUAUGAGCUGUAACACUCACGGUGGAAGCCUGCAGUCUCACUCCUGAGGCCAGGGAGACCACGAACCCACCAGGAGGAAUGAACAACUCCGGAGGCGCAGACUUAAGAGCUGUAACACUCACCGCGAAGGUCUGUAGUUUCACUUUUGAACCAGCGAGACCAUGAACCCGCCAGAAAGAAAAAACUGCCAACACAGCCGGACAUCAGAAGGAACAAACUGGGGACACGCUGCCUUUAAGAAACAUAACAGAACUUUUUCUGAGAGCCUAUCGUGUCCAUGGAGAGCAGCUGAGGUAAAUCCUGGAGGUGACUGUCCCCCUAGGAGAUGAUGUGGAUGGGGAAAUAGUUCAUACGCAGCUCAGCGACCUUGAAGCGGCAUCCGAGGAGAUGUGGCCACGGGGCAGGCGACCGACACCAGCGAGUCCAGAGGGCCAGCGUGUGCACCACUGUGUGUCUCCAGAGACUUCAGGAAGCAGCCACCACGCCCGAGGAAUGCAGGAAGAUGGACACACGGCUGGGGAAGUACAAUGAAAGGCCAAGUAGGCAGCCUGUUCUCCUCAGAUCAGUCCCCCACGAACACUCAUUCCCGAGGACUCAUCCAAUACUAAUAAGAGAAUGCUCUUGUUUUUGAAGAAUUUUCUGAAAGCCAUCCUGACAAAUUAAGUAGAGUAUGCUGAAGAUAGUCAGACUUUGUUUUUAAGAAUUGAAUAUUCUGGAAGAGGCUCUUCAGUCCAAUCUUUAGUUCUCUCCACAGAGCAAACGAAGUGAAGUGCUGAAGGCCUGGAGCCCGAGCUGUUCCCACACGGACUCCAGGACAGUUAAGGCAGGGUUGCCUUAACUAAAUCUCUGACAACUGUUUCUUCUGUCUUUCUCCUAAAAAUGGAAUGCAGGCCAUCUAUUCUAGGGAAAUAAAGGAUUCUAGUUAUGUGAAUCCAGGAGCUUUUUUUGUUUGUUUGUUUGAGACAAAGUCUCGCUCUAUCGCCCAGGUUGAAGUGCAGUGGCUCCAUCUCGGCUCACUGCAACCUCCGCC
rnacentral:lncRNA from 1 species